rnacentral:rRNA from 1 species
GUCUUGCAUUGGAUUGAGAACAACGUACAACUCUUAUCGAUAAGCCAUUGGAGGGCAAGUCUGGUGCCAGCAGCCGCGGUAAUUCCAGCUCCAAUAGCGUAUAUUAACGUUGUUGCAGUUAAAAAGCUCGUAGUUGAAGUGAGGGAGUGUGUGUUCAUGAGAGCUAGUCUCGAGUGUUCACAACCUCCCCCCUCCAAUCGGUGUAGUGGGGUAUUCAGUUAUUUCACUACUCCUUUGGUCGUUUACUGUGAGAAAAUUAGAGUGUUCAAAGCGGGCGUUUGUUUGAAUAGAUUAGCAUGGAAUAAUGAUUGAAGGCUUUCGUGUUCGAUUUGAUUGGUUUGUUCAUGGAAGCAAGGUUAAAAGGAACAGUUGGGGGUAUUCAUAUUCACUAGUUAGAGGUGAAAUUCUCGGAUUUAUGGAAGAUGAACAAGUGCGAAAGCA